rnacentral:rRNA from 1 species
CCCUUAGAUGUCCUGGGCUGCACGCGCGCUACACUGAUGUGUCCAGUAAGCACCUAACCUAUUCCGAGAGGAGCGGGUAACCUUAGCAAAGCACAUCGUGAUGGGGAUAGAUUAUUGCAAUUAUUAGUCUUGAACGAGGAAUUCCUAGUAAGCACAAGUCAUCAGCUCGUGUUGAUUACGUCCCUGCCCUUUGUACACACCGCCCGUCGCUCCUACCGAUUGAAUGUUCCGGUGAGCUCUUCGGACUGCGCGGUCUGCAGUUUCUGCGUUCCGUGCGGAAAGUUGUGCAAACCUUAACAUUUAGAGGAAGGAGAAGUCGUAACA